AGACGGAGGUGGCGAGCGUUGCUCGGAUUCACUGGGUGUAAAGGGCAAGUAGGCGGCCCUGUAAGUUCUGCCUGAAAGGUGGGGGCUCAACCUCCACACGGGGUGGAAAACUGCAGGGAUUGAGGGUGACAGAGGCAAACGGAAUUCCCGGUGUAAGGGUGAAAUCUGUAGAUACCGGGAGGAACACCAGUGGCGAAGGCGGUUUGCUGGUCUAUCUCUGACGCUGAGGAGCGAAAGCUAGGGGAGCAAACGGGAUUAGAGACCCGUGUAGUCC
rnacentral:rRNA from 1 species